UGAGUGGCGAACUGGUGAGUAACACGUGGGAAACCUGCCCAGAAGCGGGGGAUAACACCUGGAAACAGAUGCUAAUACCGCAUAACAACUUGGACCGCAUGGUCCGAGCUUGAAAGAUGGCUUCGGCUAUCACUUUUGGAUGGUCCCGCGGCGUAUUAGCUAGAUGGUGGGGUAACGGCUCACCAUGGCAAUGAUACGUAGCCGACCUGAGAGGGUAAUCGGCCACAUUGGGACUGAGACACGGCCCAAACUCCUACGGGAGGCAGCAGUAGGGAAUCUUCCACAAUGGACGAAAGUCUGAUGGAGCAACGCCGCGUGAGUGAAGAAGGGUUUCGGCUCGUAAAACUCUGUUGUUAAAGAAGAACAUAUCUGAGAGUAACUGUUCAGGUAUUGACGGUAUUUAACCAGAAAGCCACGGCUAACUACGUGCCAGCAGCCGCGGUAAUACGUAGGUGGCAAGCGUUGUCCGGAUUUAUUGGGCGUAAAGCGAGCGCAGGCGGUUUUUUAAGUCUGAUGUGAAAGCCUUCGGCUCAACCGAAGAAGUGCAUCGGAAACUGGGAAACUUGAGUGCAGAAGAGGACAGUGGAACUCCAUGUGUAGCGGUGAAAUGCGUAGAUAUAUGGAAGAACACCAGUGGCGAAGGCGGCUGUCUGGUCUGUAACUGACGCUGAGGCUCGAAAGUAUGGGUAGCAAACAGGAUUAGAUACCCUGGUAGUCCAUACCGUAAACGAUGAAUGCUAAGUGUUGGAGGGUUUCCGCCCUUCAGUGCUGCAGCUAACGCAUUAAGCAUUCCGCCUGGGGAGUACGGCCGCAAGGCUGAAACUCAAAGGAAUUGACGGGGGCCCGCACAAGCGGUGGAGCAUGUGGUUUAAUUCGAAGCUACGCGAAGAACCUUACCAGGUCUUGACAUACUAUGCAAAUCUAAGAGAUUAGACGUUCCCUUCGGGGACAUGGAUACAGGUGGUGCAUGGUUGUCGUCAGCUCGUGUCGUGAGAUGUUGGGUUAAGUCCCGCAACGAGCGCAACCCUUAUUAUCAGUUGCCAGCAUUAAGUUGGGCACUCUGGUGAGACUGCCGGUGACAAACCGGAGGAAGGUGGGGAUGACGUCAAAUCAUCAUGCCCCUUAUGACCUGGGCUACACACGUGCUACAAUGGAUGGUACAACGAGUUGCGAACUCGCGAGAGUAAGCUAAUCUCUUAAAGCCAUUCUCAGUUCGGAUUGUAGGCUGCAACUCGCCUACAUGAAGUCGGAAUCGCUAGUAAUCGCGGAUCAGCAUGCCGCGGUGAAUACGUUCCCGGGCCUUGUACACACCGCCCGU
rnacentral:rRNA from 2 species